rnacentral:tRNA from 1 species
AACGAGUUAGUAUAAUAAAUACCACCGAUUUAGGAUCGGUAAAAAAGACCUAACCCUUACCCGUUA